rnacentral:tRNA from 1 species
GGGUGAUUAGCUCAGUGGAAGAGCACCUCCCUUACAAGGAGGGGGUCGAUGGUUCAAAUCCAUCAUCACCCA